UGGGGGGAGCGAAAUUUAGUAGCGAAGUUCCUGAUGUCACACUGCCAAGAAAUGCUUCUAGUGAGAAAGUAACUGCCCGUACCGCAAACCGACACAGGUAGUUGAGGAGAGAAUCCUAAGGUGUGCGAGAGAACUCUCGUUAAGGAACUCGGCAAAAUGACCCCGUAACUUCGGGAGAAGGGGUGCUGACCGCAAGGUCAGCCGCAGUGAAUAGGCCCAAGCGACUGUUUAUCAAAAACACAGGUCUCUGCAAAAUCGAAAGAUGACGUAUAGGGGCUGACGCCUGCCCGGUGCUGGAAGGUUAAGAGGAGAGGUUAGCGCAAGCGAAGCUUUGAAUUGAAGCCCCAGUAAACGGCGGCCGUAACAAUAACGGUCCUAAGGUAGCGAAAUUCCUUGUCGGGUAAGUUCCGACCCGCACGAAAGGCGUAACGAUUUGGGCACUGUCUCAACGAGAGACUCGGUGAAAUUAUAGUACCAGUGAAGAUGCUGGUUACCCGCGACAGGACGGAAGACCCCAUGGAGCUUUACUGCAGUUUGAUAUUGCGUGUCUGUAUCACAUGUACAGGAUAGGUAGGAGCCGAAGAUACCGGGACGCCAGUCUCGGAGGAGGCAACGGUGGGAUACUACCCUUGUGAUAUGACCACUCUAACCCGCUGCUCUUAGCGAGCAGGGAGACAGUGUCAGACGGGCAGUUUGACUGGGGCGGUCGCCUCCAAAAAUGUAACGGAGGCGCCCAAAGGUUCCCUCAGAAUGGUUGGAAAUCAUUCGUAGAGUGUAAAGGCAGAAGGGAGCUUGACUGCGAGACCCACAAGUCGAGCAGGGACGAAAGUCGGGCUUAGUGAUCCGGUGGUUCCGCAUGGAAGGGCCAUCGCUCAACGGAUAAAAGCUACCCUGGGGAUAACAGGCUUAUCUCCCCCAAGAGUUCACAUCGACGGGGAGGUUUGGCACCUCGAUGUCGGCUCAUCGCAUCCUGGGGCUGUAGUCGGUCCCAAGGGUUGGGCUGUUCGCCCAUUAAAGCGGUACGCGAGCUGGGUUCAGAACGUCGUGAGACAGUUCGGUCCCUAUCCGUCGCGGGCGUUGGAAAUUUGAGAGGAGCUGUCCUUAGUACGAGAGGACCGGGAUGGACACACCGCUGGUGUACCAGUUGUUCUGCCAAGAGCAUCGCUGGGUAGCUAUGUGUGGACGGGAUAAACGCUGAAAGCAUCUAAGCGUGAAGCCCCCCUCAAGAUGAGAUUUCCCAUCACUUUAAGUGAGUAAGACCCCUGAGAGAUGAUCAGGUAGAUAGGUUGGGAGUGGAAGUACAGCGAUGUAUGGAGCGGACCAAUACUAAUCGGUCGAGGACUUAGCC
rnacentral:rRNA from 1 species